rnacentral:rRNA from 1 species
GAUGAACGCUGGCGGCAUGCCUAAGACAUGCAAGUCGAACGAGACGACCUUUGGAAGACUGAGUACUUGUACAAAGUUAGAAGAAGAUCAUCGUCUAGUGGCAGACGGGUGAGUAACACGUGGGUAACCUACCUUCAAGCUGGGGAUAACGUUUGGAAACGAACGCUAAUACCGAAUAAGAUAUAUAGCAAUAUAUAUUGAAAGAAGCCUUUAAAGCUUCACUUAAAGAUGGGCCUGCGGCGUAUUAACUAGUUGGUGAGGUAAUGGCUCACCAAGGUAACGAUGCGUAGCCGAACUGAGAGGUUGAACGGCCACACUGGGACUGAGACACGGCCCAGACUCCUACGGGAGACAGCAGUUAGGAAUAUUCGUCAAUGGGGAAACCCUGAACGAGCAAUGCCGCGUGAGUGAUGAAGGCCCUAUGGGUUGUAAAACUCUGUUGUAUGGGAAGAACGGCCAAUAUUAGGAAAUGAAUAUGGAGUGACGGUA